GGUGAGCACAGCUCAGUGGUGGAGUGUGUGCUUAGGAUGCACAAGGUCCUGGGUUCAAUCCCCAGUCCCUCCA
rnacentral:tRNA from 1 species